ACUUAAGCAUAUCAAUAAGCGGAGGAAAAGAAACCAACAGGGAUUACCUCAGUAACGGCGAGUGAAGCGGUAACAGCUCAAAUUUGAAAGCUAGCUCUUUUAGGGUUCGCAUUGUAAUUUGUAGAAGAUGCUUCGGGUGUGGCCCCGGUCUAAGUUCCUUGGAACAGGACGUCAUAGAGGGUGAGAAUCCCGUAUGUGACUGGGUGCCUUCGCUCAUGUGAAGCUCUUUCGACGAGUCGAGUUGUUUGGGAAUGCAGCUCAAAAUGGGUGGUAAAUUUCAUCUAAAGCUAAAUAUUGGCCAGAGACCGAUAGCGCACAAGUAGAGUGAUCGAAAGAUGAAAAGCACUUUGGAAAGAGAGUUAAACAGUACGUGAAAUUGUUGAAAGGGAAGCGCUUGCAACCAGACUUGCGCGCUGAUGAUCAUCCGGGCUUCUGCCCGGUGCACUCGUCUGCGCUCAGGCCAGCAUCGGUUUCGGUGGUGGGAUAAAGGCCUUGGGAAUGUAGCUCCUCUCGGGGAGUGUUAUAGCCCUCGGUGCAAUGCCGCCUACCGGGACCGAGGACCGCGCUUCGGCUAGGAUGCUGGCGUAAUGGUUGUAAGCGACCCGUCUUGAAACACGGACCAAGGAGUCUAACAUCUAUGCGAGUGUUUGGGUGUCAAACCCAUACGCGUAAUGAAAGUGAACGGAGGUGAGAACCCUUAAGGGUGCAUCAUCGACCGGUCCUGAUGUCUUCGGAUGGAUCUGAGUAAGAGCAUAGCUGUUGGGACCCGAAAGAUGGUGAACUAUGCGUGAAUAGGGUGAAGCCAGAGGAAACUCUGGUGGAGGCUCGCAGCGGUUCUGACGUGCAAAUCGAUCGUCAAAUUUGCGUAUAGGGGCGAAAGACUAAUCGAACCAUCUAGUAGCUGGUUCCUGCCGAA
rnacentral:rRNA from 1 species